rnacentral:lncRNA from 1 species
GGCUGGAUGUGCCCGGCUCGGCGCUCCCAAGUCCAAGCCCCGGUCCUUGCCCGCACCCCGGCCCACCCCGCCUCCAUCCUGGCUGCUCCUGGCUCCCAGCUUGGCAGCCUCUCUCAAAGGGUGAUUGUUUCCGGGCCGGGCUGUUGGGGGGCGGGUCUCUGGGACCGGGAGGCAGAGUUGGAAAGCAGGGAGGGUGCGGGCCCCUCGCCGGCUGCAGGCGCCCUUGAGUGGAAGGAGGCCAAGGGGGCCGCGGUAUCUUGUCAGGAUAGGGGGCUGCCUGUGUGGGGCAGAGGUGGUGCCGACCAAGAGGCCGCCCCAUCUGUAGAAACUGCUCCACUUUCGAAGUGCGGGUCAAGCUGCAAGUGUCAGCGUCCUGUCCCCCUUGCCACCAGGACAAUGCACGCUGGCUAUGCGGAAGAGGGGGCUGAGGCCCUGGCGUGGUGGGUCAUCCGCGGUUUCCCAGACUACCUAGCAGAGCCCAGAAGACUCCAAAUUUGAAACUAUAUUUAGAACUGCAAAUAUCUGAGGGUGAGAAGUUGUCCACAUACAUGUGAGCACUUGGGAAGAUCACUGGAGUCGGUUACAGAAGCAUAGCAUGUGUCUCUAGGACAGUGUUCUAAUAACCUUUUUUAUCUUCAUUCUCUGGGAAACCACUGCCAUCUUUGUAAAUCGUAGAGAUUUAUUUGUGAUAAACUUGGUGUGAAAAAAUUUCAGCAACAGGAGAAUGGACACUCACUUUAUAACAGGAUACACUGAUGCCCAGGGAAGGAAGAAACUGUCCAGGGCACCUUGCAUGGCCCAGCCCUCCUGCAUGUACUGACACCAGCAGGCCUGGAGAGCUGGGACACAGCAUGGUCAGGGCCUCUGUGGCUGAAGACUGAAAUCUUGUCCAUCUACCGCUGUGGUGAAUGGAGAAUCUCCAAGCCUUUCUUGAAGAUCCACAAUUAAACAGGCAAAGAAAUAUAUUUCAUAAAAUAUGCAUAUUGUUUGCUUCAUGCAAAAGCAUUUUAAUCUCUCUUAGCUCGUAGCCCAGAUGAGCAAUGAGAGGAAGAAUCUUUCACUGCACAUUAAAAUCAGUUGCCAGCCAACAGUGUCUUCGGGGUGAACCACGGUCGUCACCGUCCUUAUCAUCAUCACCGUCACUGCCGCCACCACCACCACCACUGCCGCCGCCGCCGGUUCUAUUAUUUAUCAUCCAUGUAUAAUUUUACAUGAGUUCUGUGGAAGUUCAGACUGUGUUUUGUCCUCCAAAGCAGCUUUUUUCAUCUAUCACAACG